rnacentral:lncRNA from 1 species
CGCUUUCUAUUUUUCUUUGUUGUUUUUAGUUAGUUUGUUUAUUUUUAUUGCUUUUUAGUUGUUUACUUUAUUUCAUUUUGCUUUUAGUUUGAGUGUUUUAGACAAUGCAUGAGUGUGACGAGUCACCAUUAUAGUGUAUCUUUAGUACAGUCUAAUCUCCCCAUUCCUUUAGCCCUACCAAAAAAAAUUUUGCAAAAGAAAACGGUGUUAUUCUGAAAGUUUUUAGGUUUUAAAGACGGGUUUGAGUAAGGAUGCGGUGACUUGGGAGAACUUUU